ACUGAAAGGAUGGAGAUGACUGGAGCCAGUAGUCCAAGAAUGUGAAGAUUUUCCCAUCAGGCUUUGUUGCUGAGCUGAGCAUCUCUGUGAAGCAGGUGCUGGGUACCAUCCUGAGCAAGACCUAUGUCUGCAGCAGUCACUGAAGUUCUCCUUAUGCAUGUAAUGAGUUGGGGGAAAAGUACUCAUGCUCAUGACUACAGUCUUGAGAGAGGAGCUUAGCUAAAGCCAAGGUCUCACUGUCAGAGGUUCUCCCACCACGGUUUUCAGCCUACAUGUGGGGUGAGAAUGCAUCCACAGGACAAGUAUCCAAGUAUCCAAGAUACUUGUUUUGGGAAAUAGUACAUUCUCAGCUAGCAUUUGAGGCAUGGACUUAAACUACACUUCUUUUCUCUUCUGCAGCUGUGCUUCACCCUUGAUUUCCAGACAGGCAGCCUCUUUGCAAGGAGUGGCUGUGCAUGAGAAUGCACGUUCUGUGAUGAAAUACAAAAGCUUGUUUUACUUUCAAAAAGGAGUUAAACAAUUAGAAAUAUCCUGCAGAAGAAGGUAGGAAUCCCACAACUGCAGUUUUAAAAGCCAAGCAGUGUUUUUACACUGGCAUCUCAAAAAUAAUUCAGUGAAGCUGAGCGGGUGCCAGAGAUUUUCCUGCUCUGUGCUGCUGAGUUUGGUCUGCUGUCCCCGAACAGGAAGAAGGCAUAGAGGAUAAACACUAAACCUCAGCACAUAUCUAACUAGUUAAGAACCUGCAUAGCUUGAAGACUCCUUUCAACAUAAUUUAAGACACCUUUUACAUAAUAUGUUUUCCUAGACCUUACAUGCUUGCAUGAAGAACUUCUUGACUCUGUAAGUGAUUCUCUGAUGAAAACAAACAAGAGCUGAUGGCGACUAAAGUGCUCCUCAACACAAGAGCAGUGCUGCAGCCAGAAUCUGCCACAGCCAUUCUUGUAUUGAGUACUUAGUCUACAAGUAGGACGUUUAGUCUCAGCCUGAGCACUGCUGGUGAAAGGUGCUACUCAGCCUGAAAAAGAACCUGCUUUACAAAAAGAAAUGCACCCAAACCAACAGCUUCUCCAAGCACAAUGGUUGAGUGUGAAGGUUAAGAUAUAAGAUGCAAAGCUUGAAUUAGAAUUUGCCUUGGAAAGCAGGAUAAGAUCCUCUUUUCUGCAGUUCCCCUCAAAGGCUUCCUACUUGCCCACUCCAAGACAAAAAUAAAAUCAGACUCAUCAUGCCCAGUCUCCUAUAUAUCAGCAGUCUUUUGAUGUCACUGUUAAUAUCUUUCUUGAGUUUUGAGUGAUUUGAGUGUGAUUUAAACAUGCCUUGCAAAGGGGCUUCCAUUCUAUGUUAAAGAAGUUCUUACCUUGGCUAGUUACCUUCACACUUCCAGUGGUGUGCCCUGUUCCAAAUUGGAUUUAUCUGGCUUUCAAUAGAUGAUCCUGCUCUGUCAGGGAGACUGGAUUGAAUGAUCUUUCAAGAUCCCUUCCAGCCCCUAACCUUCCCUGAUUCUGUGACUAUCUGUGAUUCUGUCUGACAUAGAGUGGUCCUAGAGUUACAGUGACAAAUACAGCUUGAAGAGCUGGUUCAUGACGGUUUUAAAGGGAUAGCUAAGGCUGCUAGGACCUUUCUAUCACAACUAACCACAUGAAGGACAAAGUAUUUUACAUCAGAGUGAGCCUGCCUUUGACAAGUCAGAAAUCAUCAAUUCUGAUGAUUUUCACAGGACUGCCACUGUAAUUGUUUCAUUGGCCUAGCUCUUGAAGUCAAACAACAACAUGCCAACAUGUACAAACAUGUGCCCUUUUAGUUCUCCUUGAGCUUAACAAGCUCUUUUGGGAAGAGAAGAUAGAUUUAAAAAAACAUUUAAAGUGAAACUGUGGGGCAAAGAAGUUUAUCCCUUUCUUCCUUAAACCCUUUGACUCUUUUUCCUGGCCUGAUGAUUUUUGAGAUCUCACUUGCUGAUUUUUAGUACUUAAUGUGGCAUGAUGUUGAAAAUGUGGCACAGAUUGAUAAGCAUAAACACAUUACAUACAGCCAGAAAUAUUAAUUCAUUGGAGUUAUUCAUGUUAGGUAUCUUCUUCAGUUG